UGCACUGACGCCGCCUCACUGAGUGUCUCGGCCCUCCCCUGUGUGGGUUCAGUGGACUCUUACCUCCCGCUCUGACAGAAGGCAGCAGGGAGUCCAUUCCCCAGCCCAGGCCAGCUGCUGCCUUUGCUUCUCACUCACAGCCACCCUGGCCAGCUCUGCCGCGGCCAGCACCCACCCCCUGGGCUUAUCACGCAGGCGGGGGCGCGGGGGCCACCAGCCGGCAGGCAAAACAGGCAGCAAGAGGACAUUCGAGAAUUGACUCUGCCAGCUAGGUGUCUGUUCAGAGGACACAGAGAUCACGGAUAUUUUCCCUCCGGCCUUCUGACGACUUCACCAUGGCUGGAGAGGCCAGGCCGGGCCCUGCCCAGCAGGGCGAGAAGAGGCAUCAGGGCAC
rnacentral:lncRNA from 1 species